ACAAACGACUCUCGGCAACGGAUAUCUCGGCUCACGCAUCGAUGAAGAACGUAGCAAAAUGCGAUACUUGGUGUGAAUUGCAGAAUCCCGUGAACCAUCGAGUUUUUGAACGCAAGUUGCGCCCGAAGCCUUUCGGYCGAGGGCACGUCUGCCUGGGCGUCACA
rnacentral:rRNA from 1 species